rnacentral:rRNA from 1 species
GCUAACGUUGGCGGCGUGCCUAACACAUGCAAGUCGAACGCGCCGUAGCAAUACGGUGAGUGGCAGACGGGUGAGUAACACGUGGGUAAUCUCCCUCCGAGCGGGGAAUAAGCACUCGAAAGGGUGUCUAAUACCGCAUGAUGCCCUCAAACGAUAGUUUGAGGGCCAAAGCCGCAAGGCGCUUGGAGAUGAGCCUGCGUCCUAUUAGCUAGUUGGUAGGGUAAUGGCCUACCAAGGCUGAGAUGGGUAGCCGGCCUGAGAGGGUGAACGGCCACACUGGGACUGAGACACGGCCCAGACUCCUACGGGAGGCAGCAGUGAGGAAUUUUGCGCAAUGGGGGAAACCCUGACGCAGCGACGCCGCGUGGAGGAUGAAGGCCUUCGGGUCGUAAACUCCUGUCAGAGAUGAAGAACGCCCGCAAGGGCUUGACGGUAAUCUCAGAGGAAGCCCCGGCCAACUACGU